CUGGUGGGAUGGAGAUUGUGCAGCCCGGAUCAAUUCUCAGCCAUACAGCCCGAAAAAUACCACCUCCGUGGGAAGGACUUGAAGGACCUGAAGCCUGACCAAUUUCUACAUUGCAGCAGAACUAUUUAAGCUCACACCUGGAAACAUCAUCCAAGGGAAGAUGGAAUAGAAUGUUAUCUUUUCUGGUUUGAACAAAUGGGUUUCAUGCUGAAAACCUCAUUAGAGAAGAAGCCAAGUUACCUUUCACAAACUAUUUUACAUUACCUGCAAGAAAGUUAAAUGCACAGUUAAAUCAUUACUUAUAAAUGCCAUUAAAG